AACGAACGCUGGCGGCAUGCCUAACACAUGCAAGUCGAACGAUGCCUUCGGGCCUAGUGGCGCACGGGUGCGUAACGCGUGGGAAUCUGCCUUUCGGUUCGGAAUAACUCAGGGAAACUUGAGCUAAUACCGGAUAACGUCGCAAGACCAAAGAUUUAUCACCGAAAGAUGAGCCCGCGUAGGAUUAGCUAGUUGGUGAGGUAAAGGCUCACCAAGGCGACGAUCCUUAGCUGGUCUGAGAGGAUGGUCAGCCACACUGGGACUGAGACACGGCCCAGACUCCUACGGGAGGCAGCAGUGGGGAAUAUUGGACAAUGGGCGAAAGCCUGAGCCAGCAAUGCCGCGUGAGUGAUGAAGGCCUUAGGGUUGUAAAGCUCUUUUACCCGGGAAGAUAAUGACGGUACCGGGAGAAUAAGCCCCGGCUAACUCCGUG
rnacentral:rRNA from 1 species